GGGGAAUAUUGGGCAAUGGGCGCAAGCCUGACCCAGCAACGCCGCGUGAAGGAAGAAGGCUUUCGGGUUGUAAACUUCUUUUGUCGGGGACGAAACAAAUGACGGUACCUGACGAAUAAGCCACGGCUAACUACGUGCCAGCAGCCGCGGUAAUACGUAGGUGGCAAGCGUUAUCCGGAUUUACUGGGUGUAAAGGGCGUGUAGGCGGGAUUGCAAGUCAGAUGUGAAAACUGGGGGCUCAACCUCCAGCCUGCAUUUGAAACUGUAGUUCUUGAGUGCUGGAGAGGCAAUCGGAAUUCCGUGUGUAGCGGUGAAAUGCGUAGAUAUACGGAGGAACACCAGUGGCGAAGGCGGAUUGCUGGACAGUAACUGACGCUGAGGCGCGAAAGCGUGGGGAGCAAACA
rnacentral:rRNA from 1 species